CCUGCGUAGAUAAUGGAGGGACACAGAGUAGCAUUGAUCUACUUUAGCGUGCCAAUCAGGUCUUCUGAUGACGUGCUUUUUCUGGUUACGUGCAGGAACCCCACGUAAUAGUUUGAAGAAACAAGAUAAAACUUCUGAGAAAGGCAAGCAGAAAGAUAUUUCAGGCUGCUGAAAGAACUGGUUCACUGGGCAUUGACAUAAGAAAAAAAAGAGAGACAAUGUAUGACGUCAAAAUUCUUACCUUCACAGAGACACAGCAAAAAGGAGCAAGAUCAGUAUUAACAACAAGCAGCCGUAAGUUGCCGGGUAAGUAAGUCAGAUCCACGGUGCCGGCUCCUGUGACACCUGUGCGGCUGCCAAUGACUCAACAGAGACUGCCUCAAUUGGAUCAGCCCUGUAUCUCUCAGCGGCAUCUUCCAGACGGACGAAACGAGCCUGCCCCGCCAUUCUUUCCAGGCAGGGCGAAAUAGCCCCCUUUUGUUGUGCAAACGCACUUGAAAAUAAGCCGUGAAUCAGACCGCGGAGAAUAAAGACACGCCUUUCUGCGCGGGAGUCCCUGUGUUCCCCGGCAGGCCGUGUGCCGCCGCAUCCGUACGCCGUCACGUUAGAACGGCCGAGAAUUUGUCAUCGAAAUCAAAAAUACAAAUUUGUGACAAAAAAAAUGAACUCACUAGAAAUCGGUUCCCUGCAUUUAUCUGUUAUGUAUUUCAAAGAUCUACGGUACAGCAUGAAAAAAGAGAGAAAGGUCAGUCACAGGAGGGGGAAGGACUGGGUAGAGAGAGAGAGAGAAAAAAAAAAAAACAUUAAGUAUCAUGCCUCACGACCCGCGCUCACUCAGUCAGACUGCUCAGCAAUGCGCAGACACAAGGUUAACUGCCAGGCUCUGACAUCACAGCUCAGAGGCUCCGGAUGGGGACGGGAGCCGUGCAGCCGGGCCCGCGUAGCCGGGCUCUUUUCCGCGUUUUUCAGGCGUCCAGCGAGCGCGGGACAGGCGAGGCCGAGCCGCUGGGAAAGGCUAGGAGAGGUCACGCCUGCCCUCCAAACAAGCCCCCGUCCUCCUGCGCUCAGCUCACAUUUCCCUGGAGGAAUCUGUAAGCGGCACAGUGUGACUUUAGUGAGGGGGGGUGGUUGGGGGGGGGGGCUCGGGAGCGGGAUGGCGCCUUCAGCAUGUCUAAUGUGGGAAGACCUCCAGUCUCUCUCCCACAGUGAUAUUAAGGACACAAGACUAACUCCUGGCUAUAACAGAUUUCAUAUUAGCCUGAAUUCAUUCUUUCAUUACUGACACAGCCCCUCACACCCCCACCCCCCCCCCCCC